UCCACGACGAUACGAUUUUCG
rnacentral:piRNA from 1 species